UCUCUGUUAGUAUAUCGGUUAGUACAUGCGCCUGUCACCGCCAUAUGCUGGUCGCGCGAAAGCGGGGUUCGACUCCCCGACAGAGAG